GAUGAACGCUGGCGGCGUGCUUAACACAUGCAAGUCGAACGAGAAAUGAUAUUACGAUCUCUUCGGAGUGACGGUUUUAUUUCGAGUGGCGGACGGGUGAGUAACGCGUGAGCAACCUGCCCUAUACCGGGGGAUACCAGUUGGAAACGACUGUUAAUACCGCAUAAGCGCACGAUAAGACAUCUUGUUGUGUGAAAAACUCCGGUGGUAUAGGAUGGGCUCGCGUAUGAUUAGCCAGUUGGCGGGGUAAAGGCCCACCAAAGCGACGAUCAUUAGCCGACCUGAGAGGGCGACCGGCCACAUUGGGACUGAGACACGGCCCAAACUCCUACGGGAGGCAGCAGUGGGGAAUAUUGCACAAUGGGCGAAAGCCUGAUGCAGCGACGCCGCGUGAGUGAGGAAGUAUUUCGGUAUGUAAAGCUCUAUCAGCAGGGAAGAAAGAAAUGACGGUACCUGAGAAGA
rnacentral:rRNA from 1 species